GUUGUGGUAAUGCUGGAGAGCUGCACAACAAACAUUCCAUUGCCUAGACAACCAAAUUUCACUUCUGUCAGGGCCUCUAUAGACCCUGAAAUUUCUCUGGAAGUGCAUGAAGUAGCAUUGUCAAGCUAAUAACACUCACAAAACACACUUCGACGUAGCAUAUCAUUGCUGUAAUUUUCUGGUACAAAACUCACACAAGGAAGGGCUUACAAUGGAGGAAGACACACACAAACUGCUGCUGUUUCUUCUUCUCUGUUACUUCCCCGGUUUCUGCUCACUUUCGACUGCUACCCACUGCCCUUCUCUCAAUAAUUUCAGCUCCAUGUAACCUACCACUUGGAAAAAAUAAUACACUUAACACACAUUCAACUCUAGCUAACAUUAAGCUAACUCUAGCCAACUAGCCUUACAGCACAGUAACAUUAACAGUUGGUCCUGUCGGAAAAAAAGAGAUGAUAUUUGUAUAGGUAUUUUGUCAAUCAAUUUCUUACAUAAACAAAAACAAUUUUUUGUGGUCUAUAAAUUGAUCCUAUUGUUUGUUUUAAUUUAACCUUUUAAUGUGCUCUAAGGAGAAAAUUCAGCGUUAACCAUUGAGGUAGUGGAUUGAGAGCAGACUCAUCACAGGUUUAGGCCAAGAGCUCUUUCACAAGCAGAAACUGUUCCCAAUCAUCUGUGCAAACCAGCCACCAUUGUUUACCACAAUUUAAUUGUAAAAUGAGACUUCAAUGCUUGUUGCAAGCUAAGGAAGAAAUGUAAUGUGGAUGUACCAUGAGUGACACAUGCUUAAAAACUGCAUAUCCUGUCGAUAAUCACCACCUGUAAGUAUAAAACGAUUACUAUUAUAAGUUGAUAAGUGUCACGACCCGAAUCCCGGAUCCAUGACCGACACAUAGGCAAGGUUCCCCUCAAAGGUUCCAUACCUAUGCGAACCCAAACUUACACACAAACUUAUCCUAACUCAAUCAGAGUUCAACGCAGCAUUAAUAACAAAAUCAACUUCAUAAUAUAAUUGAAUUGUCUUAAUACAAGAGUUAAUAUAAUGCAGAGUUUUGGAGCACUAACUUGACAUUAAAGGAAGGUACAAAUUACAACCAAAAAGCAGGUUCGGAAGGUUCAACAAAAUGACCUGCUAUCAAGCUAUAAGCCUGAAAAGGAUAAAUAAUGAGAUGGUGAGUUCAACAACUCAGUGAGUAGAUAACGUUCAAUAUACACACACGAGGUAAUAAAACAAUGAGAAAUAUAUAUACAAGUAUGGCUUUAGGUUCUUAUGGAAAUGUUUCUCAAAUUGACCAUAACAAGAAUGUCAUAUGGUAAAACUCGUCAGAAAAUCAAAUGCAAUGAGCAUGAGGCUCCGUACUGUGGGAUGAUCAGUCCACACAGGUUGGUGACUCCCUCGACCAACUAGGGUUCAGAUACAAUGUGCACAAAGACUAACACUACCCUGUUAGCAUGGGUAUUCUGACUGACAUACCAUAGGUUCAUAAUCAUAAUCUAACAAACAUAUUCAUAUCUCAAAGCUCAACUCAUGACAUCAAUAAAAUGAAGAGCUAUCAAUUCAGAGGUCAAUUCAAAAUAUAUGUUGGUUCAUAUCAAGAAUUCAGAUUCAAUAAUUGAUCAUGCUUUAUCAUAACAAGGAUAAUAAUCAACAUAUAUAUUAUUAAGAAGCAUGAUUCAAUUCAUAUUAACAAAUCAAAUAUUUAUACUAUUUCUCAUGCAUAUGGAAAAUUAUCCACUCAUCUGACUCGAAAGCAACAAAACUCAAAGCUGAUAUCGAAGGAAAUCCUACUGACGUCCCGCCGGUAGAAUAUCAGGAUUAUCUGAAUACAAAUGAGACAUGUUCAAGAAUGACUCAAAAAAACAUAUAACCUAUUUAAUACACUUAUCUAAGGGUGUAUUCCAUAACCCUAUAUGUUUUUGAACUAACUAGUCAAUUUUCUCAAAAACCCAAAAUUUAACGGUUUUCCCGAAAUCUAAUCCAUAAUAAAACAACUAAUAAAAUUGAUAAUAAUUCACUAAAUAACCCUCAAUUAUUCAUCAAAUCAAUCUGCAAAAAUUAAUAUUACAGCUAGGGACUAAUCUGUAAUUUAUCCUAUUUUUAAGGGUCAAAUUGCAACUUUUGUCAAAUUGAAGGACCAAACUGAAAUUUGUCAUAAAUCCAUUACUAUACUGAAUUUCUGACCAUAAUUAGUCCUCAUUUCUGUCCAGAUCAUCUCAUUAUACUCCAAGGACCAUUCUGGAAUUUUACCAAAUUUUUAGGGUCAAAUUGUAAUUUUUGUCAAAUUGGAGGACUAAAUUGAAAGUGUUAAAAUUUCAUAACUAUACUAGAAUUCUGCCCUUAAUUCAUAUAUUAUUCUGUUCAGAAUCUCGGAAUAGGCUCCAGGGACCAAUCUGUAAAUUUUCCAAAGUUUGGGGACUAAAAUGUAAUUUUCCAAAAUUGAGGGACCAAACCGAAAUUGUCAUCUUCAACCUCAAACCCAGAAUUCUCACAGAUUACCUACUGUUCUUGCCAAAUUUCUAACUCAACAUUCACCAUUUACACAAUUCAUAACUCAAAAUCAUCACAAUCUUCCAUAAUCAACUCAUUAAUCAAUUACCCAUAACAAUCAACCUUAUAACAUUCAAUUUAAUUCAUCAAUUAACCCAAAACACAAAUUUUCAAAACCCUAACAUUCAUCAAAACUGAAAUUAAAGCUUAAUUAACACAUAUUUAUACAUAAUCUUACCUUUAAACUUAUUUUCUUCAACUCCUUUCUAUUUCCCUUCUAAUUUCCCUCUUUUCUCUUCUUCUUCUUCUUUCUCCCUUCUCUCUCACGGUUUGCUCUCUCAAAUAUUCAGAUCUCCUUUUUUUUUUCUUCUUUCUAUUUAUAUUUAUCAUCUCUUUAUUCAAUUACUACUAUACCCCUCAUUCAUUUAUUCCAAC
rnacentral:lncRNA from 1 species